CGGGUGAGUAACGUGGGCAACUGCCCUGUAAAUUGGAUACUCCGGNAAACNGGGGCUAAUACGAAUAAUCCACCAGACCACAUGGUCCGGUGUUGAAGGCGGCUUCGGCUGUCACUACAGGAUGGGCCCGCGGCGCAUUAGCUAGUUGGUGGGGUAACGGCCACCAAGGCGACGAUGCGUAGCCGACCUGAGAGGGUGAUCGGCCACACUGGGAACUGAGACACGGCCCAGACUCCUACGGGAGGCAGCAGUAGGGAAUCUUCCACAAUGGACGAAAGUCUGAUGGAGCAACGCCGCGUGAGUGAAGAAGGUUCUCGGAUCGUAAAACUCUGUUGUGAGGGAAGAACAGUACGGAGUACUGCCGGUACUUGACGGUACUCAUUAAAAAGCACGGUUACUACGUGCAGCAGCCGCGUAUGCUUAGGUGGCGAACGUUGUCCGAUCAUGGGGCGUAAAGCGCGCGCAGGCGGUCCCUUAUCUGAUGUGAAAGCCACGGCUCAACCGUGGAGGGUCCUUGGAACCUGGGGGGACUUGAGUGCAAAAAAGGAAGGGGAAUUCCCAGUGUACGGUGAAAAUGCGUAAAAUUUGGGGGAACCCCAU
rnacentral:rRNA from 1 species